GAAAGAAACUAACGAGAAUUCCUCUAGUAACGGCGAGUGAAGCAGGAAGAGCCCAGCACCGAAUCCUCUCUGCCCUUGCGUGGAGCGGGACAUGUGGUGUUAGGGAGGCGAGCAUCGCUUGCGCGGUCGUCUCGGCGCCCAGGUCCUCGUGAUCGUGGCUUUUCGCCCCAUCGAGGGUGUAAGGCCCUUCGUGGCGCCGGACUCGCGUGGCCCGCGAGCCUCCUUGGAGUCGGGUUGCUUGAGAUCGCAGCCCGAAGUGGGUGGUAAACUCCAUCUAAGGCUAAAUACUGGACACGAGUCCGAUAGUAGACAAGUACCGCGAGGGAAAGUUGAAAAGAACUUUGAAGAGAGAGUUCAAUAGUACGUGAAACCGCACAGAGUCAAACGGGUGGAGCCGCAAUGUCGCUCGUCCCGGGGCAUUCAGCCCGUCUUCUCGCCGCCGGGCCUUUCUCUGGAUCGCGUUGCGCACUCUUUUCGAGGGCGCUCCGGCCGGGGAUGAGGACAAGUCGGUGGCGAGACGGGUGCACUUGCUCCGGUCGUCGAGAGCCACGACCGGUUCCUUCGCAGGCAGUGUGGACUCCCUUGGUCGGGUUAACGGCGGUCCGAACGUUGUCCCUCUUUUGGGCCUCGAUCGACUGCUCCGACCGGGAGGGAAACUGGCCUGGGGACCGAGGACUGCAGCCCGGUGGACGUCUCCGUUACUCUCCAGCCGUGUGCCCUUGUCGCCUCCCCUCACGGGGUGGGCUGGCAAUACGGGCGCGAGGACGCACGGAGAGGGAGCGGAAGGCGCCUGCCGCGAACGGGUUUGCUUGUCAGUGGCGGAUCAGGUCGGUACUCCACCCGACCCGUCUUGAAACACGGACCAAGGAGUCUAGCAUGUGCGCGAGUCAAUGGGAAAAGUUGACUAAACCCUACGGCGCAAUGAAAGUGAAGGCCUCCUCUUCCUUCGGGAAAAGGGGCCUAGGCAGGAUGUUUGGGUGCCAAAAACGCCCAAGCCGCACUGCCGGCCCGUCCCGAUCGCCUUUGACGAUGGGGCGGAGCAAGAGCGCACACGCUGGGACCCGAAAGAUGGUGAACUAUGCUUGAGCAGGACGAAGUCAGGGGAAACUCUGAUGGAGGUCCGCAGCGAUUCUGACGUGCAAAUCGAUCGUCAAACUUGAGUAUAGGGGCGAAAGACUAAUCGAACCAUCU
rnacentral:rRNA from 1 species